UACGACUACAUAUCAGGCAUAUCAAUAAGCGGAGGAAAAGAAACUAACAAGGAUUCCCCUAGUAACGGCGAGUGAAGCGGGAAGAGCUCAAAUUUGAAAUCUUAAAGGGUUUCCCUUUACGAAUUGUAGUUUAAAGAAGUGUUUUCUGUUGGAGUUUCGGUAAAGGUUCUUUGGAAUAGGACAUCAUAGAGGGUGAGAAUCCCGUAUUUGACCGUUACUUUUCCAGCUGUGUGAUACACUUUCAAAGAGUCGGAUUGUUUGGGAAUGCAGUCCAAAAUGGGUGGUAAAUUUCAUCUAAAGCUAAAUAUUGGCGAGAGACCGAUAGCGAACAAGUACCGUGAGGGAAAGAUGAAAAGAACUUUGAAAAGAGAGUUAAACAGUACGUGAAAUUGUCAAAGGGGAAGCGUUUGACACCAGUGUUGUUUAGUUGAAAAUCAAUUCAAUAGUUUUUGAUUCUAAGUAGUAUUGACUUCAUCAGCUUGCUGCUUUCUUCUCAGAAAUUAUUGAAUGCACUUUUCAGUUAACAAGUCAACAUCAAUUUCUUUUGUUGUAAAAGGGUAAGAGGAAGGUGGCUUGCGCUUCGGCUCAAGUGUUUAUAGCCUUUUAUCUCUGCAAUCGGAGAGAUUGAGGUCUGCAGCGUAGAUCCUUCGGGGUUAGAUACAUUGGUGCUAAGCUAUAGCCUUGUAUAGACAACUUGUUGACUAUGCUCAGUCAUGUAGCUUACUCGCUGAUGCUAUUUUACCUACGCUUAGGAUGUUGAUCUACAGAGCGAGAGU
rnacentral:rRNA from 1 species